UGAGGAAUAUUGGUCAAUGGACGAGAGUCUGAACCAGCCAAGUCGCGUGAGGGAAGACUGCCCUAUGGGUUGUAAACCUCUUUUAUAAGGGAAGAAUAAGUUCUACGUGUAGAAUGAUGCCUGUACCUUAUGAAUAAGCAUCGGCUAACUCCGUGCCAGCAGCCGCGGUAAUACGGAGGAUGCGAGCGUUAUCCGGAUUUAUUGGGUUUAAAGGGUGCGUAGGCGGUUUAUUAAGUUAGUGGUUAAAUAUUUGAGCUAAACUCAAUUGUGCCAUUAAUACUGGUAAACUGGAGUACAGACGAGGUAGGCGGAAUAAGUUAAGUAGCGGUGAAAUGCAUAGAUAUAACUUAGAACUCCGAUAGCGAAGGCAGCUUACCAGACUGUAACUGACGCUGAUGCACGAGAGCGUGGGUAGCGAACA
rnacentral:rRNA from 1 species